UCAAUCCGAAGGCGUGAUGCGGACCGAAAUCUAGUAGGGAAGUACGUGAGCCAUGCGUCAAGAAAAGCCGCUAUUGUUCUUAUUGUACCCGUACCGUAAACCGACACAGGUGGAUGAGGAGAGAAUCCUAAGGCCGACGGAAGAAGCAUUGUUAAGGAACUCGGCAAAAUGACCCCGUAACUUCGGGAGAAGGGGUGCCACAGAAAUGUGGCCGCAGAGAAUAGGCUCAAGCAACUGUUUAGCAAAAACACAGGUCUAUGCAAAACCGAAAGGUGAGGUAUAUGGGCUGACGCCUGCCCGGUGCUGGAAGGUUAAGAGGAGAGGUUAGCGCAAGCGAAGCUUUGAAUUGAAGCCCCAGUAAACGGCGGCCGUAACGAUAACGGUCCUAAGGUAGCGAAAUUCCUUGUCGGGUAAGUUCCGACCCGCACGAAAGGCGUAAUGAUUUGAGCGCUGUCUCGACAAUGCAUCCGGUGAAAUUGAAGUACCAGUGAAGAUGCUGGUUACCUGCGCCAGGACGGAAAGACCCCAUGGAGCUUUACUCCAGCUUGAUACUGGGAUUCGGUAUUGCAUGUACAGGAUAGGUGGGAGGCUGAGAAUCGGUAACGCCAGUUGCCGAGGAGCCAUUGUUGGGAUACCACCCUUGCAGUACUGGGUUUCUAACCAGCAGCCGUGACCCGGCUGGGGGACAAUGUCAGGUGGGGAGUUUGACUGGGGCGGUCGCCUCCGAAAGGGUAUCGGAGGCGCUCAAAGGUUCCCUCAGAAUGGUUGGAAACCAUUCGAAGAGUGCAAAGGCAGAAGGGAGCUUGGCUGCGACACCGACGGGUGGAGCAGGUACGAAAGUAGGACUUAGUGAUCCGGUGGUAUUAAGUGGGAAUGCCAUCGCUCAACGGAUAAAAGCUACCCUGGGGAUAACAGGCUUAUCACUCCCAAGAGUUCACAUCGACGGAGUGGUUUGGCACCUCGAUGUCGGCUCAUCGCAUCCUGGGGCUGUAGUAGGUCCAAGGGUUGGGCUGUUCGCCCAUUAAAGCGGUACGCGAGCUGGGUUCAGAACGUCGUGAGACAGUUCGGUCCCUAUCCGGCGUGGGCGUAGGAUAUCUGAGAGGAGCUGUCCUUAGUACGAGAGGACCGGGAUGGACGGACCGCUGGUGUACCUGUUGCAGUGCCAGCUGCAUGGCAGGGUAGCCAAGUCCGGAAGGGAUAAACGCUGAAGGCAUCUAAGCGUGAAGCCCCCCUCAAGAUGAGAUAUCCCAUUCGAAAGAAGUAAGACCCCUUGAAGACGACGAGGUAGAUAGGGCAGAGGUGGAAGUGCAGUAAUGUAUGGAGCUGACUGUUACUAAUCGGUCGAGGGUUUGAUC
rnacentral:rRNA from 1 species